rnacentral:lncRNA from 1 species
AAAAUAAGUUCCCUUUUUGAAAAAAAUAUUUUAGACGUCAUUUCAUUUAAAUUUCCAACUUAAAGAAUUUGGCUUUAAGAUUAAGUUAAAAAUUAUACUAUGCAAAUUUCGUAUUUUUCUCCCCCUUUUUUGUAAUAUGAAAAAGAAUGCAGGUUUGAAAAACUAGGGAAAUAAGUGCACAAUACUUAAAUAUAUGGAGACAUAAGAAUACAAAAUAGAAACAAAAGAAAAAUGAAGCAUACAAAAAAAAAAACCAAUAGCAGUACAUUUGAAACAAAAGCAUCCAAAGGUAAUAAAAAUAAAAACAUCCCAAAGCAACCAAAUAUACAACCAAUAUAAAUAGCCCAAAUAUCCAAAUAAAGACAACCAAACAAACCCAAAAUAGUUAUAUAAUCCAACCAAAAAGCAUAUAAAAAUCAAC